GACGAACGCUGGCGGCGUGCUUUACACAUGCAAGUCGAGCGAUGAGAUCCCUUCGGGGAAGGAUUAGCGGCGAACGGGUGAGGAACACGUGAGGAAUCUGCCUUCAACACUGGGAUAACUCCGGGAAACCGGGGCUAAUACCGGAUACGAGACCUGCAGGCAUCUGCGGGUCUGGAAAGUUUUUCGGUUGAAGAUGACCUCGCGGCCUAUCAGCUUGUUGGUGAGGUAAUGGCUCACCAAGGCGACGACGGGUAGCCGGCCUGAGAGGGCGACCGGCCACACUGGGACUGAGACACGGCCCAGACUCCUACGGGAGGCAGCAGUGGGGAAUAUUGGGCAAUGGAGGGAACUCUGACCCAGCGACGCCGCGUGCGGGAUGAAGGCCUUCGGGUUGUAAACCGCUUUCAGCAAGGAAGAAGCGAAAGUGACGGUACUUGCAGAAGAAGCACCGGCUAACUAUGUGCCAGCAGCCGCGGUAAUACAUAGGGUGCAAGCGUUGUCCGGAAUUAUUGGGCGUAAAGAGCUCGUAGGUGGUUCGUCACGUCGGAUGUGAAAAUCUGGGGCUUAACCCCAGACCUGCAUUCGAUACGGGCGAGCUAGAGUGUGGUAGGGGAGACUGGAAUUCCUGGUGUAGCGGUGGAAUGCGCAGAUAUCAGGAGGAACACCAAUGGCGAAGGCAGGUCUCUGGGCCAUUACUGACACUGAGGAGCGAAAGCGUGGGGAGCGAACAGGAUUAGAUACCCUGGUAGUCCACGCCGUAAACGGUGGGCACUAGUUGUGGGAACCUUCCACGGUUUCUGCGACGCAGCUAGCGCAUUAAGUGCCCCGCCUGGGGAGUACGAUCGCAAGAUUA
rnacentral:rRNA from 1 species